rnacentral:ncRNA from 2 species
GGCGGAACGUUAAGGUGUGGAUCCUCCGUUCGAGGCGCAGGAACCCGGUGCGAGUCCGGGGCGGUUCCGCCACUGUGACACCCCCGCCAGGGGCCCAGCCAGACACUGGCCACGAACGUUCCUACCGC